rnacentral:lncRNA from 1 species
CUGUGGUUACGGUGUUGGUGCGAGCUGGUUUUGACGAGACCAUGCAGGAGGCUCUCCCUGGUUUGCUGUUCAGUGCUGGAUGACAUGCUCUCCUGUGUGCUGGAUACUGGUGAAAAAGCAGCUGAAUGAUGGUGAAGUGGAAAAGGCUGCUAAUCAAACAGAAUUAUAAAACAUACAUAAUAAUCCAUAAUAUUCACUCUUGUAUGUAUCUCUUUUUGUUGGAAAAGGGUACAGAUGUUUGAUGCUUCCUUGUGUGGUGUGUCUAUCACCUGAUGCACUGCGCUGUUUCUUCUCCCACUCUGUCUCAUACACUCACCUACAGACUGAAUGUUAAAAUCACAGAAUAUGUUAUCAUUGACAUCUCUCUUUAAUAUAGGGCCUCUUGUAAAACAGCCAUCUAUAUCAUCUAUCUCAUCUGUGUUCUCCUCUACCUAUAUUCUACAUAGUAUCUGAUACCAUUGCCAUGCAAAGAGAGUGGGGCUUUGCUAAAAACCUGCAUACUGUUGACCUCCUUGUUUCGUAAUGUAAAUGGCUGGUGCUCUGUUCUAAAGAAACAUCUAUAUAUACCUUAGUACAUCUAUAAAUACAUUACCAUGUCUGGUUAAUGUGAGCUGCUCUUCCAAAUAUGUAUUUUGUCAUGUAGUUGUUUGUGAGGUAUUGGUGUGUAUGUGUGUGACUGACCACAUACAUCUGAAGUGAAUGAUGAUGGACCUGUGGGUGUGAGUUAUGACAUUAGGGUGUUUUUACAGGACAUUGUGAAAUUACAGUAGGGUGUGUUAAAACCGGUCUAUAGAAAAACAAGUGUGACCUUAUAAUAGAGAGUUGUGAUGUGACUGUAUCUGUGGUGUGAUAUAACAUCUAUCCCUUUCUCUUUCUCUGUCCUAGUUGGCAGUGAUAUUCAAGGUAGAGGAGCUGCUUUCUCAACUGCAGUAUGUACUGGAGACUCGUGAGGUUAACUGGAAGCAUGUGCUCUCCUGUCUCUCCACCCUGCUCGUGUACAAUCCAAACACCCAGCCAAGCCUCAAAGCCCCAGUGUCAGGCAGGUCAGGAUGUGGACAAGGCAGUCUCUUUGUUUGAGAGCACAGGAAGGAUAUCUGCCACAGUCAUCAUGGAGGGCUGGUAGGUAC